UCAAUUUGUGUAGCCUAAGACUAUAUAGUUUCAAAUUUAAAUACUUGAGUUACGUGUUGAGUACUUGUUCACUGUAUUUUCUGUUUUCUUUGCAAGUGAUUUGUUUUCGAUAUCUGAUGCUUUUUUCCCCCCUUCUUGAACCAGAGCAUACAUAAGUUUUUCCCUCUUGCUUUGUUGUUGCGUUGCUACGAGAGCUUGCAGGAGUAACUAUACCACCUGAAAGAAUCUAUGGUCUGGGAACUAGGUGAGAACAUUUUUAAGUAUAUAUAUUGUGUGUUAUUACAAAUGAAAAUUACUUUGGCUGGUCUUUUAAGCACCCCUCUCAAAUUUUGGAUAAUCAACUUAUUUAAACUAUUCUUAUUUAUAUUACCAAACAAUCUAACACUAUCUCUUUUUCUUUUUGAUUUUUUAUGCGUAUUUGUUUUUCUAUAUGUUUUUGAUGAGAGCAAACGAUGAGUCGGAGUUUUCUUUGAUCAUCGCCACACUCUGGACAACCAGUCAAUCGCUCCAAUUGUCUUUUUGAAAAUUCGAGCAUUUCGAGGAAUAAUCACUAGCUAAUGUGAAUAAUAUGAUGCAAAUGAAGACAAAACAUCGAUGUGGAU